rnacentral:snoRNA from 1 species
UGCUCCAUCACAUACCAGCCAGAGCAGAACAACUCCUUGUUUAUCCCAACUUAACUUAUGGCCUGUGCCCAUGCCUGCUUCAUGUUCUGAACCAGGAA